ensembl:lncRNA
AAAGACAAGAAAGCUCCUUACUAUGCAUGGAGGGUUUCACCCCAAGUCCAGCACCCUGAGGCUGUACACUAAGCGGAAGGAAGGGGGCCGGGGACUGGUGAGUGUCAGCACCACAGUCCAGGAUGAGACAACGAACAUCCAAGAAUACAUUGGGAAGAUGGCCCCAACUGACUGAGUGCUCAGGGAGUAGUAGUGGAGAAUGACCGAGCUAAGAUCCUGAGGGACUUCCAGAUACAGAUGGACAAAAUGGUGGUGGCUAACCAACCGGACAUAGUGGUGGUAGACAAACAGAAGAAGACGGCCGUAGUGAUCGAUGUAGUGGUUCCAAAUGACAGCAACAGAAAGAAGGAACACGAGAAGCUGGAGAAAUACCAAGGGCUCAGAGAAGAGCUCGAGAGGAUGUGGAGGGUGAAGGGGUUAUCACGAAUACUUCCACCUUUUACCGCAGCAACCUCCCGUAGCAAAUAGCAAGGGAAUUAACAACACAAAGGGAAACAUCCAGCAACAAGUCUCCAGAAUGAAGAGAUGAAUCACACCAGGGCCUGACACCAUUCAAGGGUGCUGGCUGAAGAAGCUAGCAGCUUCACCUGGCAGCACAAAUAAGGAGGCUGCAAACUGCAAGCACUCAUCUGAAAUGGCUAACACUGGGCAGAACAAUCCUGAUAAAGAAGGAUCCCCACAAACUAAAACACCAUCAAAAUACUGGUUGAUAACCUGCAUCUGAGUAGGCAUUGGUAAGACAUUGGAAAAAAAACAUCACAAUGCCUAAGUACCAACUUCUGGUUGAUAGAGCAGUACACCAGAAGUCAAAGACUAGUGAGACCAACCCAAGGACUACCUGGAUUGACUACAAGAAAGCUUAUGACUCAAUGUCCCACAAAUGAUUACUACUGUGUUUGGCACUGUACAGUAAUGCACUAACUCAAAGCCAACCAAACAAGGCUCCAUGAAGUGUGAAAUAUAUGAAGGUCAUGCACUGUCCCCACUGUUGUUCUACACAGGCCUCAAACCCCUAACAGCCA